ACUCUCAUUCCACCUAUAUGACUCUUUGAGUGAAUCUAAUAAAGUCCAAGUGAAGUGACUUUCAACCUCAAAGAGCAAAAAUCCUUUGUGCUUACCAAGCUGCUACAGUGGUCUGAUACCUGUCUGUGGAAGGGAGGUUGGAGAGUGGAGAAGGAAAUCCACACUGUUCUUCCGUGGAAUGCCUGGGAAUUUGGUGUGGUAUGGAGAUCUGAUACAGUAUUUCUCUGGAGAAAACCUUUACUUAAUGAGAAAUCUGAUUUUCAGCUUUGACCUGCAAGCAAGAUGUGUGGCCUUGGAGUUCUCCUAAACUGCAAUCAGGACUGGUGAUGAGAGUUUCAACCCCUUUCCUUCAGCCUCAUUCCUCUCUUUCUCUACAAGAAGUGCUAAAAUUGUGGAAGAGUCCUGGUUUUGUUCUGGCAAAGUCCAUCUCCUUCAUAGGAGGAGAUGUAAGAUGGAUGCAGAGCAACUCAGAGGCCCAGAUGCCAAAUGAAGUAAAACUAUAGCUCGCUAGUGUUACGGGAUACAAACAUCCAAACCUACUCACAGCCGUGCAUUCCCACACCUGAGCUUUAAGGAGAGGAUAACACCAAUAUACUCCUUUUGAGGCUGAAUACAGAGGAACUGGGCAGCUCAUUUUUCCAUAAAUUAGCCUGAAAGCAGCUCUUCUACUUCCAGGCAAACAAGGACUGAUGGAAGCUACAGGAGUGAUGUUUGCUAUAAAAACACACUAGCAACCUGAG